CUAAAGUAGUUUGCCAAAUAUAUUAGUAUAGAGUUGAAUAAAGCAUUUAAUUUUGUAUGCAUUAUUUUUUUCCCAUUUUUUCUUACUUAAACUGUCUGUGAUUUUGCUCCCUGUUGUGUUGGCUAGAUGUGCUAAUAGAUUAUAGUUGGCCCUCCAUAGCUGCAGGCUAUGCACUGGCAGAUUUAAUCAACUGUGGAUUGGACCAAGUGUGAAUCAUAUCCUUACCAAAUGUAUAUAGACUUUUUUUUCCUCCUCCUCUUCCUCCGCCUCCACCUCCUUUUUCCCCUUUUGAAACAGGGUCUUGCUAUGUUGUCCAAGCUAAUCUUGAACUUCUGAAAACUCCUUAGCCUCCCAAGUAUCUGGGACUUUUGGGCAUGUGUCACUGUGCCUGCCUCAAACAUUUUUUUCUUGUCAUUAUUUCUUAAGCAAUAUAGUAUAACAACUAUUUACAUAGUACUUACAUUGUAUAAGAUAUUAUAAAUUAUCUAGAAAUGACUUAAAGUAUAUGGGCAAAUGUGUGCAGGUUAUUUGCAAAUACACCAUUUUAUAUAAAGGACUUGAACAUCA
rnacentral:lncRNA from 1 species